rnacentral:rRNA from 1 species
GUGCCAGCCGCCGCGGUAAUACGGAGGGUGCGAGCGUUGUUCGGAAUUAUUGGGCGUAAAGCGCACGUAGGCGGCUGGGUAAGUCUCACUGUGAAAGCCCGGGGCUCAACCCCGGGAGGCCAGGGGAUACUGCUCGGCUGGAGACAGGCAGAGGCUGGUGGAAUUCCGGGUGUAGCGGUGGAAUGCGUAGAGAUCCGGAGGAACAUCUGAGGCGAAGGCGGCCAGCUGGGCCUGAUCUGACGCUGAGGUGCGAAAGCGUGGGGAGCGAACAGGAUUAGAUACCCGAGUAGUCC